UAGACCUACGGGGGGCAGCAGUGGGGAAUAUUGCACAAUGGGCGAAAGCCUGAUGCAGCAACGCCGCGUGAAGGAAGAAGGGUUUCGGCUCGUAAACUUCUAUUAACAGGGACGAAAGAAAUGACGGUACCUGAAUAAGAAGCCCCGGCUAACUACGUGCCAGCAGCCGCGGUAAUACGUAGGGGGCAAGCGUUAUCCGGAAUUACUGGGUGUAAAGGGUGAGUCGGCGGCAUGGUAAGCCAGAUGUGGAAACCCU
rnacentral:rRNA from 1 species